ACCACAUCUGGCUAAUUUUUGUAUUUGUUGGUAGAGACAGUUUCACCAUAUUGGCCAGGCUGGUUUCAAAGUCCUGGCCUCAAGUGAUCCACCUACCUAAGCCUCCCAAAGUGCCAGGGGAUAACAGGCGUGAGCCACCGCACCCAGCCAGUGAUUUGCUUCACUUUGUAAUAAAUCUGUAUUUGACUCUAAAACAAUUCAUCUAUGUAUUCAGGAAAAAAAAAAUUUUUUUAAGUUAUGAUGAAUCUUUUUCUAACACAAAAUUUUUCUUCUUAGUGGAUAUUUUGACAUAUAUAGUCUGGAAGAUAAGUGGCUUACCUGUAACUCGUGUAAUUGGAAGUGGUUGUAAUCUAGACUCUGCCCGUUUCCGUUACCUAAUUGGAGAAAAGUUGGGUGUCCACCCCACAAGCUGCCAUGGUUGGAUUAUUGGAGAACAUGGUGAUUCUAGUGUGCCCUUAUGGAGUGGGGUGAAUGUUGCUGGUGUUGCUCUGAAGACUCUGGACCCUAAAUUAGGAACGGAUUCAGAUAAGGAACACUGGAAAAAUAUCCAUAAACAAGUUAUUCAAAGGUAAUAGUACCUAUUCAGUUUCUUAAUGCCUUAAUAGUCAGUCUUAAGAAUAAAUAUCACGGACAAAAAUCAAGUAGUUGAUCCUUGCUUUUUGUGAGAUAAAUAACUCUAGGCUCCUGAAAACCACUAAAUUCAGACUUAUACAUAGCUUUCUUUUUGGGGGCAUUUUUCAAAAAGAAAAAGUACUUAUUAUUUCACAACUCAUAUAUUUGAGAGUAAUAAAAGCAUAGUGAUUAUGAGCAUGGACUUUGGACCCAGGUUGUCCAGGUUUGAAACCUGCUUCAUCAUUUAUUAGUGAUAUGAUAUUGGGAAAUUACUUAAAAUAUCAGAAGUUGUUUACUUAUCUUCGAAAUGGGGAUAAUUAUAGAACCUACUUUACAUAAUAGCCUUAUGGAGAGUAAAUAAGUUAAUACUACAUGUAAAAUGCUAGAACCAUGCCAAGAACUUAUUAAAUGUUCAUCAUUUGAGUAGAUGAAACAUUAAGCUAAUGCAGAUGAUCAGAAAUCAAUAUGGUUUUCUUAUAAAUGAAGCAUCUGACUCCAUAUAUAUUAGCCUUAACAGCACACAGGAUUAUUCUUCAUGGUUUAGUCAAGAGUCAAGUUACAUAUUAGUAGAAGUUAUAGAACUUAAAAAUUGGCUGGGCGGGGUGGCUCACGCCUGUAAUUCCAGCGCUUUGGGAGGCCAAGGCGGGUGGAUCACCUGAGGUCAGCAGUUCGAGACCAGCCUGAACAACAUGGUAAAACCCCAUCUCUUCUAAAAAUACAAAAAUUAGCUCGGUGUGGUGAUGGGCGCCUGUAAUCCCAGGUACUUGGGAGGCUGAGGCAGGAGAAUCACUGGAACCCAGGAGGCAGAGGUUGCAGUGAGCCAAGACAGCGCCAUUGCACUCCAGCCUGGGCAACAAGAGUGAAACUCCAUCUCAAAAAA
rnacentral:lncRNA from 1 species